rnacentral:rRNA from 1 species
CCUACGGGUGGCAGCAGUGAGGAAUAUUGGUCAAUGGACGAGAGUCUGAACCAGCCAAGUAGCGUGAAGGAUGACUGCCCUAUGGGUUGUAAACUUCUUUUAUAUGGGAAUAAAAUGUUCCACGUGUGGGAUUUUGUAUGUACCAUAUGAAUACGGAUCGGCUAAAUCCGUGCCAGCAGCCGCGGUAAUACGGAGGAUCCGAGCGUUAUCCGGAUUUAUUGGGUUUAAAGGGAGCGUAGGUGGAUUGUUAAGUCAGUUGUGAAAGUUUGCGGCUCAACCGUAAAAUUGCAGUUGAAACUGGCAGUCUGGAGUACAGUAGAGGUGGGCGGAAUUCAUGGUGUAGCGGUGAAAUGCUUAGAUAUCACGAAGAACUCAGAUUGCGAAGGCAGCUCACUGGACUGCAACUGACACUGAGGCUCGAAAGUGUGGGUAUCAAACAGGAUUAGAUACCCUAGUAGUC